GGGAGCGCGCCCUGGACUCGCGGCCGCUCGCUCUGAUCCUGCGGGUUAGCGUUAAGCUUGUCUUUUCCCUCAGCUUGGGGACGAAGGUGCCCUGAGCUCUGAGUUGGGGCUGGAGCGCCCUGGCCCUGACAGCGAGUGUCCACCCAGCCCUCAGGUGUUUGGUUUUCCUCUUGAGUGCGUGAGCGCUAAGUCUGUGGAGUGGCCUACGUGGUUUUAUUGUGAGCCUGCUAACACUUAAACAAUCUGACCCUUCAUUCCCGAAGUGACUGGUUUGUGUCAUCUUUCUUCCUGUUCGGAGUUUCUUACCUGGGAAACAGAUCACUUUAAUUUUUGACUCAGGAGCUUUGUUUCAUGCCUAUUCGUGACCACUGUAGCCUCCUGUCCCACUUAAUAGAUAAAGCAACUGGAAAGG